GAUGAACGCUGGCGGCGUGCCUAAUACAUGCAAGUCGAGCGAACGGACGAGAAGAUUGCUUCUCUGAUGUUAGCGGCGGACGGGUGAGUAACACGUGGAUAACCUACCUAUAAGACUGGGAUAACUUCGGGAAACCGGAGCUAAUACCGGAUGAUAUUUUGAACCGCAUGGUUCAAAAGUGAAAGACGGUCUUGCUGUCACUUAUAGAUGGAUCCGCGCUGCAUUAGCUAGUUGGUAAGGUAACGGCUUACCAAGGCAACGAUGCAUAGCCGACCUGAGAGGGUGAUCCGCCACACUGGAACUGAGACACGGUCCAGACUCCUACGGGAGGCAGCAGUAGGGAAUCUUCCGCAAUGGGCGAAAGCCUGACGGAGCAACGCCGCGUGAGUGAUGAAGGUCUUCGGAUCGUAAAACUCUGUCAUUAGGGAAGAACAUAUGUGUAAGUAACUGUGCACAUCUUGACGGUACCUAAUCAGAAAGCCACGGCUAACUACGUG
rnacentral:rRNA from 1 species